rnacentral:tRNA from 1 species
GCCUGGCUGGCUCAGUCAGUAGAGCGUGUGACUCUUGAUCUCAGGGUCGUGUGUUCAGGUCCCAUGUUGGGUG